rnacentral:rRNA from 1 species
AGUGAACGCUGGCGGUAGGCCUGACACAUGCAAGUCGAACGGCAGCACAGUAAGAGCUUGCUCUUACGGGUGGCGAGUGGCGGACGGGUGAGGAAUACAUCGGAAUCUACUUUUUCGUGGGGGAUAACGUAGGGAAACUUACGCUAAUACCGCAUACGACCUACGGGUGAAAGCAGGGGAUCUUCGGACCUUGCGCGAUUGAAUGAGCCGAUGUCGGAUUAGCUAGUUGGCGGGGUAAAGGCCCACCAAGGCGACGAUCCGUAGCUGGUCUGAGAGGAUGAUCAGCCACACUGGAAGUGAGACACGGUCCAGGCACCUACGGGAGGCAGAGGUGGGGAAUAUUGGACAAUGGGCGCAAGCCUGAUCCAGCCAUACCGCGUGGGUGAAGAAGCCUUCGGGUUGUAAAGCCCUUUUGUUGGGAAAGAAAAGCAGCAGGUUAAUACCCCGCUGUUCUGACGGUACCCAAAGAAUAAGCACCGGCUAACUUCGUG